ensembl:lncRNA
CGAAUCUUUAUCUGUGGAGCACAAGACUAGAUGAGAACACAACCUAUAAAUAUACAUAUCAAUGUCCUGCUCAACUGACAAUAUACAGGAGUGUUACUGUGUUUAACACUCAAUGCAAAAAAAAUUAUAAAGCUUAUCUGAUCACUGAGUAGAGCUCAUAAUAUUAGCUCUAAUGUUAGCUAUGUUAGCUAAAAACAAGCUAACAAAAACGAUAGGAAAUGAAUGGGAAUGCCUUUAGUGCCUAUACCUGUGAGCCAAAGUUUAGAGAUAUCUGGGACAGCCGUGUCGGCUGGGUGGAGAUGACCUGGUGGAGGCGGGGGGGUGGUGGUGACGGUGUAAUGAGAGUGAUGAAGCAUGGACAUGACGGAGGAGGAGAGGGAUGAGGUCAAGAGGUCCAUCUUGCCCUCCUCCUGCUCCUCCUCCUCCUGCUCCUCCUCUUCCUCUUCCUCCUCCUCCUCCUCAGCCUGGGGCCCCUCAAACAGCUCCAGGGAGCCCCCCCAGCUGCCCUCCUCCCCGGGCCCUCCUGUGGGGCCGGCCAGGCCAUCCAGGGCUGGGAUGAAUGGAUGAAUGAUGAAUGGAUGAAGCAUAAAGACAGUGUAGAUGUCUGGGUGAGUGUUGUUGAGAAUGCAGGCGGGUAGGGGUUAAUGACCAUGGUUACACGGGGAACUGGUUUGAGGUUUGAACUGAUUGAACGGCCACAGGUGGAAGUUAGAGGCACAAAGGCUGAAGUGAAGUCAGAAGGGAAUGAGGAACACGAAGGCUGUAAACACUAGUGUGUACUUUUUAAAACAGGAUGAGUCCAUUGUGUUUCAGAGUAAGUUGUGACAGUGGCGCUAAUGCAAGGGUGUUUGCAAAUUAUGAACACCACUCAGCUACACACUUUGAACUCUGAUCCCCCGACCUCACACGGUGAGAGCCACGGGCGACCGGAAGGCUCCAGACAGUCAGAGAGUUAGCAACAGAUUAGCUUCAGGCGGUCAGAGAGUUAGCUCCAUGCGGUCAGAUAGUUAGCGACAGAUUAGCUCCAGGCGGUCAGAGAGUUAGCUCCAUGCGGUCAGAUAGUUAGCAACAUAUUAGCUCUAGGCGGUCAGAGAGCUAGCAUCAGGUGGUCAGAGAGUUAGCAUCAGGCGGUCAGUUAGCUUCAGGCGGUCAGAUAGCUAGCGACAGAUUAGCUACAGGCGGUCAGAGAGUUAGCAUCAGGCAGUCAGAAAGUUAGCAUCAGGCGGUCAGAGAGUUAGCUUCAGGCGGUCAGAGAGUUAGCUUCAGGCAGUCAGAGAGUUAGCUUCAGGUGGCCAGAGAGUUAGCUUCAGGCAGUCAGAGAGUUAGCUUAAGGCAGUCAGAGAGUUAGCUUCAGGUGGUCAGAGAGUUAGCAACAGAAAGGGAAACCGUUCCUUACACAUGGAGCGGCGCAGCAGAGACUUGACUUUGUCUCGGUCCUUCAGUCGGUUCCUCAUACGGGAAA